rnacentral:rRNA from 1 species
UACGUAGGGUGCAAGCGUUGUCCGGAAUUAUUGGGCGUAAAGGGCUCGUAGGCGGUCCGCCACGUCGGGAGUGAAAACUUGGGGCUUAACCCCAAGCCUGCUUCCGAUACGGGCGGACUAGAGGUAGGCAGGGGAGAACGGAAUUCCUGGUGUAGCGGUGAAAUGCGCAGAUAUCAGGAGGAACACCGGUGGCGAAGGCGGGUCUCUGGGCCGUAACUGACGCUGAGGAGCGAAAGCAUGGGGGAGCGAACAGG